UACGUAGGGUGCAGGCGUUAAUCGGAAUUACUGGGCGUAAAGCGUGCGCAGGCGGUCGUGCAAGUCGCGUGUGAAAGCCCCCGGCUCAACUGGGGAGGGUCACGCGAUACUGCUCGACUUGAAGGCAGGAGAGGGAAGUGGAAUUCCCGGUGUAGUGGUGAAAUGCGUAGAUAUCUGGAGGAAUACCGGUGGCGAAGGCGGCAUCCUGGACCGACAUUGACGCUGAGGAGCGAAAGCUAGGGGAGCAAACGGG
rnacentral:rRNA from 1 species